rnacentral:rRNA from 1 species
GACGUAGGGGGCCAGCGUUGCUCGGAAUUACUGGGCGUAAAGGGUUCGUAGGCGGUGUGGCAAGUCGGUUGUGAAAUCUCCAGGCUUAACUUGGAGGCUGCUGCCGAAACUGCCGUGCUAGAGUACGGGAGAGGCGAGUGGAAUUACAGGUGUAGCGGUGAAAUGCGUAGAUAUCUGUAGGAACACCCGUGGCGAAGGCGGCUCGCUGGACCGUUACUGACGCUGAGGAACGAAAGCUAGGGGAGCAAACAGG